rnacentral:rRNA from 1 species
CGACGUUAGGAUUUCGUAGGUGACCUGCGGAGGAUCAUUA